UUCUUGAGAGAAGUGAAGAUCGAAAAUGUAGUAUUGGUGGUGUUGAGCUUGGUCCAGAGAUACACCCACAUAAGUAGGGAUUCAUAACUACGAAGCUCCUUUCUUUUUACCACCUAUACAUACAAACUCAAAUAUAUACAUACACAAAUUCUUGCAAGUCUUCACCUCUCAUUUCUCCUAGUUUUGCUCUUUCCCAUUGCUUAAUCUCUCUUUUCUUGAACACCCAUUGAGUGAUUUUUCUAGAUAAUGCAUAAAAAAUUGAUCUUUCAUGUGAUUAUUGCUAAAGCUUAGAUCUUUCUGCCCCCCUUUGUACUCAUCUUCGUAAAGAUGCCUAAGAUAUUGAAUCGGUGUGCUCGAUGCUUGCCUAAUGUCAUAUGGAAACACUAACUAGCUACGUUUGAUGUCCUGUAUUUAAGAUGGAAUUCAGUAGUGAAGAUAAUGCUUUAACAGUGGAUAGUUCUCUAAUAAUGCCCCUUGAUUCAAGUGAACAUGCUAGAAGCCCACAGGAUCUUAUGACCCGACGUUUAAAAAAUCGUGAACGGCAACGCAGAUAUAGGCUCAGGAAGCGUAUAGAAGCCGAGAGGAAAGCUUCUAUCAUGUGCCAGUCAGCUCCACCUGAAAUACAGCUACAACUGCCAGAAUUAUCCAGUACUUGUGCUACACGUGUUCACUGUCAAAGAAAUUGGAAAAAAGAUGCCAGAAGGGCUCAUUUUUCCAAGGAAGAAGUUAACAAGACUGGUGAGCGGUUAAUGUCUUGUACAACUCCGAUCAUUGGAGGUCAAGUGCCCUGCUUACCUUCUGGAGUCGAUCAACAGCUGCCAUUAGAGAGUGAAAUUCAAUUUAGAAGCUCCUCGGUCAUCGAGAAUAGUGAAACGCCAAGGAGCACACUGAGCCGUAGACACUGGAAAGCCGAGGCAAGAAACAAGAAAUAUUGAAGUUUGAUCAAACUGCGAGGUAGGAUUGAUAUACUUUUUAGAUAUAAAGUUCGGUUCAAGCUAACAUGAUAAUGUGGAGAAGAAGUUCAUUGAUAAGAGCAUCGUUGGUUAUUAAAAGUGGCAUAUUAUGUGAAGUCCCCUCAUAUAUGAUAUUGUGUACUGCAAUUUGAGUGAACCAUGUUAUGUGUGGAUUCACAAGUAUCUUUUUAUUAAUAUCGAUAUCAGAGUACCCCAAUGAGUACGGGGACAUCUGAAAUUCGUCUAACUACUGACCUCCCUCGACGGUUCUCUGUUGGCAGUAUCGAUCCUUGAGGUAAUGUAUACCAUUCAUAUGCUUUGUGAACUA